AAAAAUUAGAGCAUGUAAAAAUUGACCAAAAUUAUAUACUAUUUCAUUGCUGUAAAUUUCAUAAACCAAAAGGAAAAAUUAAUGAAAAAAAAUCACCAGAAAAAGUAACAGCAUGAGCAGACAGAAGAUGAAGAACAUAACAGAGAAGAAAUGCCUGGCUUUCCCAUGUACGCCGCUCCAUUUUUUUUUUCUCGAAACGAUUUUUAUAUCGGCGGCCGGCCGACGUCGACGCCGGAAGUGCUUCAGUCAACCGCGCAAAGAGAAACUUGAGAAGAUAGAAAUUUUCCAGAAAGAUGGUUGAAAUUACUAUAAUCAAUUUGUAAGCAAGCCAUAACAUCAUAUUUAUUCUUCAUCCUCUUCAUAACUUUUGUUUUUUUUUUUUCCUGGGAUUAUCUGAAACAAGAAGAAAACAGCAAAAGGUUAUGAAAUGAUAAGGGAAAACAAAAAAUGAAGAGAUUAUACAGGAGUUAACACAAAGAAGAUGAGACCAACGUGUAUAUAUAUAUAUAUAUAUGUUAUAAAAGAGGCAGGAAAAAAAGGGAAAGGUGUUCCCAAGAAGAUGAGACCAGCAUUUCCCGUAUUAAUGUUGCCUUCAUAUGUAAACAAUAGGAUAUAUAACACUUUUC
rnacentral:lncRNA from 1 species